UAUCUAUCUAUCUAUCUAUCUAUCUAUCUAUCUAUCUAUCUGUCUAUCGCAGGCGCUCUGACACAUAUCUUAUGAACCUCACUUAAUCUCCAGCACUAACAAACAGAUUUCUAACCAGUGUACUGAACCCCAGUGCUCUGUAGUUUUCUCCCCCCGAAGCGCGUGCAUGAUUGCGCGCGCACGAUUGGCAGCUCCACGUCGACAUUCUUCCAGCUGCUACACGGACACGGACGCGGCGUGAAAGCGCUUCAUCAACAGUUUGCAGGAGCGUCAUCUGCUCAAGCACCGAGUCAAAUCCUCUGGGGCUUUUGACAGAGACGACCACCGUGUUGUUCCAGAGCGCUUCUUCUGCCAAUGCAGUUUAUUCAGAGUCGACUGUCUCGUGCUGUGAGUUGCAGCAGAAGAGCUUCCCUGAGAAGAAGCAGAAUCGGCAAGCAGCGCUGCAGUGGCUUUCCAAGUAAAGUUCUGUGAUACACUCCGACUCUUAAUUGUUUGCAGUCAGUGCAUUACAGAACUUUGUUUUGGGAGUUUAAAGCUCAGGCCUGGAGGAAACAAUCAUUCCAUCUGGAUGAAGCCCUUGAAAACAGUGUUAAACUCCACAUCCUGUGUGUCCCUCAACAACAUUAAACAAAUAAAUCACAUCAUUAUCAUUGUUACAA